rnacentral:rRNA from 1 species
UCGGGAAUUUUGGGCAAUGGGCGCAAGCCUGACCCAGCAACGCCGCGUGAAGGAUGAAAUCUUUCGGGAUGUAAACUUCACAAGAACGGGAAGAAUAAGUAAGUGUAAAUACCACUUAUGAUGACGGUACUGUUUGUAAGCUCCGGCUAACUCCGUGCCAGCAGCCGCGGUAAUACGGGGGGAGCAAGCGUUGUUCGGAUUUACUGGGCGUAAAGGGCGCGUAGGCGGCGCAACAAGUCACUUGUGAAAUCUUCAGGCUUAACCUGAAGCGGCCAAGUGAUACUGUCGUGCUAGAGUGCGGAAGGGGCAACUGGAAUUCUUGGUGUAGCGGUGAAAUGCGUAGAUAUCAAGAGGAACACCUGCGGCGAAGGCGGGUUGCUGGGCCGACACUGACGCUGAGGCGCGAAAGCUAGGGGAGCGAACGG